rnacentral:rRNA from 1 species
UACGUAGGGUGCAAGCGUUGUCCGGAAUUAUUGGGCGUAAAGAGCUCGUAGGCGGUCUGUCGCGUCGGCUGUGAAAACCCGGAGCUCAACUCCGGGCCUGCAGUCGAUACGGGCAAACUGGAGUACUGCAGGGGAGACUGGAAUUCCUGGUGUAGCGGUGAAAUGCGCAGAUAUCAGGAGGAACACCGGUGGCGAAGGCGGGGUCUCUGGGCAGUAACUGACGCU